UACGUAGGGGGCAAGCGUUAUCCAGAUUUACUGGGCGUAAAGCGCGUGUAGGCGGCUGGUUAGGUGUGAUGUGAAAUCUUCGGGCUCAACCCGAAAACUGCAUUGCAAACCGGCCUGGCUAGAGUGCAGGAGAGGGAAGCGGAAUUCCAGGUGUAGCGGUGAAAUGCGUAGAUAUCAGGAGGAGCACCGGCGGUGUAGACGGCUUUCUGGACCGUAGCUGACGCUGAGACACGAAAGCGUGGGUAGCAAACAGG
rnacentral:rRNA from 1 species